GACGAACGCUGGCGGCGUGCCUAAUACAUGCAAGUAGAACGCAGUUGCGAACGGGUGAGUAACGCGUAGGUAACUGCCUCAUAGCGGGGGAUAACUAUUGGAAACGAUAGCUAAUACCGCAUACUUUGAGAUGGACCUUCGUGGUAUUAGGUAGUUGGUUAGGUAAAGGCUCACCAAGGCGACGAUACAUAGCCGGGCUGAGAGGGUGGUCGGUCAAAAUGGGAAUGGGACACGGGCCAGACUUCCAAGGGAGGCAGCAGGAGGGGAACUUCGGAAAUGGGCGGAAGUCUGAACGAGCAAAGGCGCGUGAGUGGAGAAAGUUUUCGGAUCGUAAAGCUCUGUUGUGAGAGAAGCGGUAACUAAAGAGAAAGGGACGGCUAACUACGUGCCAGCAGCCGCGGUAAUAC
rnacentral:rRNA from 1 species